AUUCCGGUUGAUCCUGCCGGAGGUCAUUGCUAUCGGGGUCCGAUUUAGCCAUGCUAGUUGCACGAGUUCACACUCGUAGCGAAUAGCUCCGUAACACGUGGCCAAACUACCCUACGGACCGGAAUAACCUCGGGAAACUGAGGCUAAUUCCGGAUACGGUUCCUACGCUGGAACGCCGGGAACCUGAAACGUUCAGGCGCCGUAGGAUGUGGCUGCGGCCGAUUAGGUAGACGGUGGGGUAACGGCCCACCGUGCCGAUAAUCGGUACGGGUUGUGAGAGCAAGAACCCGGAGACGGAAUCUGAGACAAGAUUCCGGGCCCUACGGGGCGCAGCAGGCGCGAAACCUUUACACUGCACGCGAGUGCGAUAGGGGGACCCCGAGUGCGAGGGCAUAUAGUCCUCGCUUUUCUGGACGGUAAGGCCGUCCAGGAACAAGAGCUGGGCAAGACCGGUGCCAGCCGCCGCGGUAAUACCGGCAGCUCGAGUGAUGACCGAUUUUAUUGGGCCUAAAGCGUCCGUAGCCGGCCGGGCAAGUCCGUCGGGAAAUCCACCAGCUCAACUGGUGGGCGUCCGGCGGAAACUGCUCGGCUUGGGACAGGAAGACCCGAGGGGUACGUCCGGGGUAGGAGUGAAAUCCCGUAAUCCUGGACGGACCGCCGAUGGCGAAAGCACCUCGGGAGGACUGAUCCGACGGUGAGGGACGAAAGCUGGGGUCUCGAACCGGAUUAGAUACCCGGGUAGUCCCAGCCGUAAACGAUGUCUGCUAGGUGUGGCGCUGGCUACGAGCCAGCGCUGUGCCGUAGGGAAGCCGUGAAGCAGACCGCCUGGGAAGUACGUCUGCAAGGAUGAAACUUAAAGGAAUUGGCGGGGGAGCACUACAACCGGAGGAGCCUGCGGUUUAAUUGGACUCAACGCCGGACAUCUCACCAGCUCCGACAGUAGGAAUGAAGGUCAGUGUGAUGAGCUUACUCGACCUACUGAGAGGAGGUGCAUGGCCGCCGUCAGCUCGUACCGUGAGGCGUCCUGUUAAGUCAGGCAACGAGCGAGACCCGCGUCCCUAAUUGCCAGCAGUACCCUUGUGGUAGCUGGGUACAUUAGGGAGACUGCCGCCGCCAAGGCGGAGGAAGGAACGGGCAACGGUAGGUCAGUAUGCCCCGAAUGAGCUGGGCUACACGCGGGCUACAAUGGCCGAGACAAUGGGUUCCUACCCCGAGAGGGGACGGUAAUCUCACAAACUCGGUCGUAGUUCGGAUUGUGGGCUGAAACUCGCCCACAUGAAGCUGGAUUCGGUAGUAAUCGCGUGUCAGAAGCGCGCGGUGAAUACGUCCCUGCUCCUUGCACACACCGCCCGUCAAAGCACCCGAGUGAGGUCCGGAUGAGGCCCCCGUUGGGGGGUCGAAUCUGGGCUUCGCAAGGGGGCUUAAGUCGUAACAAGGUAGCCGUAGGGGAAUCUGCGGCUGGAUCACCUCCUACUGACCGG
rnacentral:rRNA from 1 species